rnacentral:lncRNA from 1 species
AUCUCAGGUCUGCGUGAAAUUGUCUCAGCUAGGCCUAAAGUCACCGGGCCGCCCGAGCCUCCCUCUCAAGGAGCCUGGAUCUUAGCCUGAGAGAUGAAGAAAGCCACUACGGGCAGACAUCAUAGGAACCUGUAUCAAGUAGGUUUGCUAUAUUAAAGAGGGCAACCAGACCCAUACUAGCCUUCAUGGAAAUGAGAAAGAAGCCUUUCUGAAUGCAGUCACCACAGUUAGGGGCUUCUCUGUUACUAUGAACCACGUCAGUGAAGAUCAGGCUGCAGCUGAGAAGCAGGGCUAAGGCAUGGCACACCAUCAGAAGUAGGAGCAGUUCCAAAGAGCUUCAUCUCUGAAGAUUGAGGGAGUAGACACCUCUGCCUGUCCUUUGGCGGUGCCCACAUAAGGAAACUUUCCUCCCAGAGGUGUGCUGGAUUCCUAUCCCUGACAUGGGGUUGACAUCAAAACAAUUCUGCAACAGGAAGAACCAG